rnacentral:tRNA from 1 species
UCCCUGAUGGUCUAGUGGUCAGGUUUCGGCGCUCUCACUGCUGCGGCCUGGGUUCGAUUCCUGGUCAGGGAA